rnacentral:lncRNA from 10 species
CGUCGUCCCCGCCGCGGCCCGCGCCGUCCCCAGCGCCAGCCGCGCGGCCGCGCACCAUUCACCCGGGGGAGAGGCGGAGGAACGUGCGGGUGGGGCAGGGAAGGAAGGCGGCCCCAUCUCCGCCCCCCUUCCCUUCCUUUAUCCCAGUGGGGCCCAGACCCGCGCAACCAGGCGGGGAGGGGAGGUGGGCGCGCGAUUGGGUUGCGAUCUGGAGCAGUGGGGACAGGUCAGGAACCGGCGCGUAUUUCUGCAGUGAGACCACAGGACGGACAUCGGCGCCUUCGGCUUCGAUGGAGUUGCGAUUUUGCUCUUUCCAGGGAAACAGUGGCAGGGUGUUUGCUGCUUAUCGGUUCCUGCGGAUAUGCCUGGGUCCCAGGACAUUCCACUGGAGGCUUGGACUGCAUUUAGGAGCCCCUAUCCCUUCCCUGUCCACACUGUUAGUGAGCAAUUUCAUAUGUUUGCAUUUAGACCCAUAGACUCAGAACGACUCAUCACACACACACACAGUGUACACUGACACACUCACAUUCGCACACUUAGGUAUACAGCCUGAUCCUUGCUCUGACCUGGUAACAACGCUUCCUCCUCCAGAGACUUUGAGAUAGAGCGAGCGAUCCCUGUGCACCAUUCAUCCAUGCUCCCACCUCGCCAGUAUGGCUGGCUUAGUUCUGGAAGGGGCUUAAGAGGAACAAGCCCCAGCUGUGCUUCUGGCUGGGACUUAAACCCCCCUUCUGGGCCCUAAAGCCACGCUUCUUUGUGGACCGGACCUGACUCUCCAGGAAUCUGGGAACCCGCUAUUUCACUCUAUUUUGGGACAAGAAAAAGGGGCUCUUUGGGGCCACUUCCUGCCUUCCCCUCAAGUAGGAUCUCCAGCCUGCAGAGGGUGCCUAGUCCUUCUUUGCCCAAGAACCAGUCCAAGAAGCCUUUCCUCUGUGCCUGGGAAAUGCAACCUUUUCUUGGGAGCAUGGUAGGGUGUUGGUGCUGAAGAACCAAGCAGCGACCCGUCUUGUAGCUGCCAUGUUUUGUCGAGGGGUUCUGGGGGUCCUGCUGCUUUAGAGCCACAUACUUCCACUUCCUGAUUCACUACUGUGAGCUGGUCAGAUGCCUAGAAGAGGAACAAGCGUUCAAAGUGAAAGUGGGCACAUUACCGGAAUAGUGCUGGGGAGAGUGCUGGAUUCUUUUCCACCCCAGGCGGACUGGUGAGAAGCCAGGCUUGGACCUGUCCUCUGCUCCUAGCUUGCACACUCAGCCCUAAACUCAGAGCAGCACGCAUACCACCCCUCACACACACCCCACCAAGUGUGCCCUUUCCUUCUUGACUUUUUAGCAGUUCUGGGUAAAUAUUGAUUUGCCCCCAGUUUACCUUCUCCCUGACUGGCCAUUUGCAGACUCAGGAACUAGCCUCUGUAGGGACUUGAUUUUUCUGUUACUUUCUGGCCGUUUCACCACCCCCCUUCCUCCCUCCAAGUGGCAUUGUAAAACUCACAGUGACAAAGAGACAGAGUAGGGUUCUAGGCCCCUGUUCCUGGGGACUUGAAGGCGGUUUUACAUACUGGUCAGACACGGCUGGAGGCCAAGGUCAAGUUGAAAGUUGCAGUCCAGCCAGCAUGAGAACUGCCAUGCGAGCGUAGAGACACAGGCAGCAGCAAAAGGCCCAUUGCCCACAUCCCCUCACUCUUAAUUUUCUCUCUCUUUUUAAAAUUCUCGCCUCUGACUCUGUUCGGCUGCCCAGAAUUUUUUGGUGCCUUCGUGGGGUUUUUGGGGCGGUGUUUACCGACUCUUCUCUGCCUCCGCCCUGCUCAGCCAGGGCUUUGAGCCUCUUCGGUUUUCCGGCCAGACCCGGAAAAACGAAAACACAGCUUGGGGAGCCCCCACUAGCCGGCGCCUGUGCCAGCUCACCUCUGGCCAUGGCGCAGCUGCCGGUGCACACGGCGGCCAAGGCCAGCUCCACAUUCUUCCCUCCCCCUCCCACUUCACCGUAGCCCCGAACCCUGCGCGCAGAGAAAGGGUCUCAGCUCCACAGACGACUGGGUCCCUCCUCACCAAAAAUGGUGAGACAAGAUUUCAUCUGUCGGCCGAGGAGCCACAAGCAGGUACCACAAAGCCACUAGUGCACAGGGACUCAGAAAAGACGGCAGGAGCCCAAGGAAAACUCCAAUUUGAGUACAGCCCUGCCUUGUUUCCCCCAGAGAGUCCCUGAGCAAGGAGACCUCCACCCCACACACACCAUUUCAGAACAACCAGGUUCCAGACUCCCAUGAGGAGCAUCUCCCACUGCAGAGCCUUGGCCAGCCGCGCCCGGACUCCUCAGAGCUGGCGCAAACUCCGUCCUCCAAAACUCGGCUCUGGGAGGCCUAAGUGACUCCGAAGCCGGCGGCAGCCGCGGCAGCGGCCGUGGUGGUGGAAGAGCUCUUUUCCCCGACAGUGCCACUGAUCGCUCUUCACUGGAGCUGGAAACAGCCUUCGCGGAAAGGACCGGAGCAUGCGUUAGAAGCAGAGGGAGCUUGGUGAAGGGCUCGGCUGGAAGGAGGAAACGCCUUCUCGCAGUGCGCGGCCAGCCCGCGGGGGACACCGGCUUGCUGGACUGCAGGGGCCCGUGCCACCCAGGAAGUGACCUGCGGGUCACUCAGCCGGGGCGCUGGGCGAGCGCGGGACGGCCCGGAGAAUUCCGUGCGGCUGCGACGGGAAAAGGACGAGGGGUCUCUGUACCCGACGCUGCCACUGGCCCAAAGGAAUUUUACCCGCGAGCGCCCACCCCACCCUAGCUUGAUGCUUACGCCCGCAACAAAACAGGAAACCAGGACUGGGCAGUGCAUUCUUUAAGUCAACAAAUACACUGAAGACUUCGAGCGUUUGAAGGAAGGAGGGGGUUUGCACGUAAGCCUGGCCCCGCCGGGCUCGGCUUUCUCGCUGAGAAAGCGGCGCAGGCAGCCAGGCGGCCUGGGCCCGCGGGGGUCCAUCUCGCCCUAGACUCCUAAGAACUCCCACGGCCCUGUUCCCAGCUGCGAAUUCUUAAUGCACAACGCGACGGAGGGAAGGAAAUUCACCAGCGCAGCGACGAGGAAGGGGAACUCAGGACCCCUUCAAGUACACACUGAGGUGUGAUCAGAGUUUUAUGGGCACUUUAUAUGCUGUAAUCAUAACGAUGUGUGUGCCUUGAUAUGCACGCAUAUUCACGCAUCAAACGUGCAUACACACACAGAGUGAAUGUGCGCAUCCAAUGUCAUGUGGGUGAAAUACAAGCAUCAUACCCAGCCCUACGAAAAAAAAAUUCACCCUGUCGGACCAGGCUGGUGACAUACUUCGCUGGCGCAUCUCCUUACUCACUCUUACUUUUCCGACCCCUCACCAUUCCCUCUCCUGUGGCUUGGUAAAUACACCUGCCCUCCGUGGAAGGUGAGUCCUGGACUGGCGUUGCCAGGUUCGCAUGUCCUCCCCAGAACCUCCGUCUGGCUCCAGGGACUCUCACUGAGCGGGUCUAGAGCACCCAGCACUUUUCAAGGAACAGCCGCGGUUCCUUUGUCCCGCGGCUCCAGCCCCGUUCGGCCCAGCUCUCAGGGAAACGAAGCGCUCAGUAAGAACUUUUGAUAUUAGUUUGUAUGGGUAUUUACACUCUGGUGAGGGGAGCUGAGUACGGAAGUUCCAUUAAUCAUACUCCAACCUUGGGUUUAGAUAUUCAGUUUAUGGGUUGGGAGAGGGAGUUUGCCGGAAAGAAAGCAUCAAGGUUGGCCGCUGACUCCAGAGAAAUGAAAAGGGAGCAAGGUCGUUUUCUGUUUCUGGAAAUCAAGAAUUAGGAAUGGGCAACUACAGGUGCUAACCAACAGACCACUUUUUUGUUUUUUGGUAGCCCUUUGGCAGGGAUAGUUUUUCCACCUUUGCCCGAUACAAUUUAAAAAAAAAAAUCCUUUUAUUAUGGAAUUUGUCAAACACACACACAAGCAUAACAAACCCCUAGGUACCCAUCUCCAAGUUUUGACCCCUAUUAUAAUUUCAUCUUCAGUGUUUUAUUAUCCACUUCCUCUCUCUCUAUCUUUAGUAUUUUAAAGUAAAUCCCAGAUAGCAUCACAUCAUUUCACCCCCACCAUAGGAUUUCAAAGAUCUGUUAUAUUUCAAGAUUGAGUAAAAGGGCUUGAAAUUGGGUUAUUGCAAUGAAACUCUAGAAAAAGCUUGAGGGUUCACCCAGGAGUAAGCUGGACAAAAAAGGGGUUUGAGGGGUGGACCCAUCUUGCCUAAAAAUCUUGUCUCAUCUUUCUAAAAAUUACAUAUGAAAGAGGAAGAUUUAUGUUACUUUUUUAUAUGAGAGAAUCGUCCUUUAAUAGAAAAUUUCUAUUGCUGCAUCAGAAUUAUGGAGGAACACAAAAAACAUACCUCAGUCCUUAGUGUGUCCUAAAUUAACACAUAUUCACUUAUUAGUGGGUAAAUGACUAUAUUUCAUUUCAGCACAACUUCUCCCCUGGUAGAAACACAAAAGAAAUUUCUAAUGAUUAAACUAGGAAAGUUUGCACUGAAUUGAUGGCUUAUCAGAGCAACCGCAGUUUUCAGGAAGAAAUUCAAUGCCAUGCGUUGAAAAUAUCCCCCUAGCAAUAAGGGAUUAUUUUUAAAAAAGAAUGAAUAAAGAUGUUCUGGUUUCUUUUGUUUUAAUCUGGUAGUCUCAUUUACAACGAGCAUGAUUCUCCCUGUCGAACUCUGAAAGUGACUUAACUGAAAGGCUUGGCAACUUCAGAAAGCAAAAAGGUAAAAACAGAAAAUAGCACACGGUUGAAUUUGACAACUUUUACACUACCCGGCUGCUUAAUAAAUUCUAACCCCACUUGUCUGAGUGGAUACUGAUCAUCUUUUCUAUGGCAGUAUUUUGUAUUUGGGUUGUUUAUGGUUUCUUAAUUAAUUUUUUUGAGUAGUGAUUAAAUAUCUGGGAUGCUUUUACACUAAGCAUAUAAAUUCUCAUGGUAUUAGAAAAGAGCUAUUUGAUGAAACUCAUAAGGGGUAUGUAAAUUAAAAAAGAGAAGAAAGUGUGUGUACAUAUUUUACAAUAAUCUCGAACGACUCCAACUAUAUGUUGCAGAAGCCAUGAGCUCUCUGCCCACUGUCUGUGGGGUAUCAGCAAGAUUGACUCCUACCAAGCCUUGGGCACAGUGGUGG